UACGUAGGGUGCGAGCGUUGUCCGGAAUUAUUGGGCGUAAAGAGCUCGUAGGCGGUCUGUCGCGUCGAUCGUGAAAAACUUGGGGCUUAACCCUGAGCUUGCGGUCGAUACGGGCAUGACUGGAGUUCGGCAGGGGAGACUGGAAUUCCUGGUGUAGCGGUGAAAUGCGCAGAUAUCAGGAGGAACACCGGUGGCGAAGGCGGGUCUCUGGGCCGAUACUGACGCUGAGGAGCGAAAGCUAGGGGAGCGAACAGGA
rnacentral:rRNA from 1 species